GGGGCGGGGGCACGGGGGGCCUACGGGAGGCAGCAGUAAGGAAUAUUGGUCAAUGGAGGCAAGUCUGAACCAGCCAUGCCGCGUGCAGGAAGACGGCCCUACGGGUUGUAAACUGCUUUUGUACGGGAAUAAACCCUCUUUCGUGAAAGAGGUUGAAUGUACGGUAAGAAUAAGGAUCGGCUAACUCCGUGCCAGCAGCCGCGGUAAUACGGAGGAUCCAAGCGUUAUCCGGAUUUAUUGGGUUUAAAGGGUGCGUAGGCGGCUUAUUAAGUCAGGGGUGAAAGACGGUGGCUCAACCAUCGCAGUGCCUUUGAUACUGAAGAGCUUGAAUAUACCUGAGGUAGGCGGAAUGUGACAAGUAGCGGUGAAAUGCAUAGAUAUGUCACAGAACACCAAUUGCGAAGGCAGCUUACUAAAGUAUAAUUGACGGUGAGGCAAGAAAGCGUGGGGAUCAAACAGGAUUAGAUACCCUGGUAGUCCACGCCCUAAACGAUGAACACUCGAUGUUGGCGAUAUACAGUCAGCGUCUAAGCG
rnacentral:rRNA from 1 species